AUUAUAGCAUUGUUUUUUGUUGCAAACAGUGAACAUUUAAUUCACAUUUUCACCACAAAUCAGUAAGUAAUUCAUGUGACCGCGGUCCUGUACACACAAAAGCAGUACGGACAUUUUUCAAUAAAGUUUUUUUGACAGUAGCUCCAACUUUUUAGCCGUGUUUGCUAGCUAAUUAACAGCGCAGGUUAGCAAACAAACCUACCUUAUUGAGGUGACGUUCAAAAGCGACGUACUGUCAAAUGUCAUGCGACAGCGGAGGACCUUAAAAGCCCGUUUUAAGGCAGCAGGAGCGGGUUAGACGACAGAAAAGAGUUUGAGCUCUUCUUCGGGACUCCAACCGUCAGCACGCGGCGCUGUCCGGGUAAAGUAAACUGGCCGGAGCGUCUCUAAACGUCUCUGAAAUUAACCUCCGAGAGAAACAACCGACGGCUACCUUUCAUUUAUGUCUCCUCCUCACUCACUUCACGUCUGUCGGCGGUGGAAACUGCCGAUAAAAGCAGCUGGAAGUCUCACUUUCAUCCGUGUGCCAGUGCUGCUGGUGUGAGGGCUCCAUCUGCUGAACUCAGCCGGAGUGAAAGCGGCAGUUCCUCCUUAAGGUCAGAGAUUGCAGCAUCUGAGGGCCUCUUCAAAAGAAGACGUAGUUGAUGAAGGCGUUCUGGAGCAGGACCAGAAAGACCACAACCAAGCAGCCUUGAGAUCUUAGGCAGCAUCUCCCUCGGUUCUGCCGGGCCAGCUCAGCUUCCCCUCAGAAGAAGUGCUGCCACCUGCCAGAUGAAGGAGCCUUUUGAGAGGCAGCUGGCAUCGUGAUUGGACUGUACUUUGGCCUGUUCCAAUCCAGCUUCAGCUCCAGAGACGGCAGGCGGGACGAGUCAACGAAGGCCGGGUGGACGAAGGCAUGCAGACCAAAGAAGUACAGACUCUUCACAACCUGCUCAAACUCUUGGUACAGGACCUCACCACACGGGUCAAGAAGGUUUCUGUCUCAUUUCUACUCUGAAGAUCACCUUCUCCUGCUCAAACUGCUGAUAAAUGUUUCUGCUGCUCUAAAGUCUGGUCUCCAGAACUUCCUAAAAACUCUCAAAGUCUCUUCUGCUGCAGGUUGCUUUGUAGAACUGUUCCAGAAAACCUCACUAAACCACAUGGAGGGGCCUCAAGAUAGUCGUCCAAAUGAAACCAUACAAAAACCAAACUAGUACAACCCAAAUGUUAAAGUCUCCUGCAACCUACCAGAGAACCUCUGAGAACAGAGAAUCAGGACAGGAACUCUUACCUUCUGGACAAUCAACAUCGGUUCUCAAACAAGAACACAGAAUGUGUCUGACCAAAAACCUCUAAAGACUCACUAUAGCCAAGAUAAAGACACAACUCAGCUGCACCAAAUCCACUAAUCACUGCACACAUUAGCACCAUGUCCUAACUGUGGCUAAAGAACCACAUUUACCAAGACAACUAUCCGGUACAAAGCCCUAAAACAAACCAAGAAACACAUUAAAGCCUAUUUUACUGCUGGAAGCUGCAAGCCAAUGCCUAAAGAACAAACUAAAGCAAUGGAGCUAAACCCAGUUCUGUGGUGAAGAGAAGCAGAGGAAAUGUUUGUCUGCAGCUAAAUAAAGCAGGAAGACACUGAGCUGCUCAGGUGUUCCUGAUAACACCAAGCAGCCACCUGGACAGCCAAUAGGAACACAGCUUACUGGAAGUCCAGAGGGCUGGCUUAGUGAAGGAAAUUUAAUUUAAAGUUGAAGCAGAAAGUUAAUAAAGUUGAAAACCACCUUCUGAUACCUGAAAUCUCUGAGUUUUCACACAAAGAACACCUGAACAUGUCAAACUGGUUCCAUAGUAGAACCAUCAUUGUAAAAACGUCAUAGUAUGGUGUGUUGCUCAAAAAACAUUAGGACCCGGCUGUCAGGGGACAAACAUGUAAGAAACAUGAGAACAGAGAGAACCCAACCAGUAGGUCACAGUUUAUCAUCCCCCAGUCAUCUCCUGAAGUCCAUAUGGUGAGAGACAUCAGUAUCUGGUUGUUAAUUUACCAGAGGAUGCUUAUAAUCAUGCUGAUGUGGUCUGUACUCUACAGUAUUUUAGUGACUCAAUAAAUGCCUAAGUUGUUUUUUUUUUUAAAUGCUUUUUAGUUUUUAAUAAACAUUUAAGAGCCUAUAUGUAAUCAAUAAAUGGCCUUUGCCUAUCUUAAGAAAAACUCACUCAGAACUCUGAUAUGUUAACAGUACUAAAUAAAUCAAUAAAUACAUGCAUACACACAUAAAUAAGUUAAUACAUUAACUGUGUAACGAUAAGAUUUAGAUUUUUUUUAAAAAGUUGUUAUGUUUUUGCAGAAUCCAGUAUUGCUCACUGGUUGGUCAUUACAUUUUGUUAGUUUGAUUUCACUGUUUAAAAUGAUGCCACCUCUUUUCAGACAGAACCUGUGAUAAUAAAACAAUACAAAAUUUUUAGUUCCGUCUUAAUAAAGCACUUAAAGCUUUAAGUAUGGCUAAAUGCUUUUUUCAAAAUUAAAUAUAUCACUCCUUAGGUGGUAGUGGCCCCAAGUUCAGUAAAGUUGGAAAGAUAUUCACAGAUUCGGACUUCCAGCAUCAAUAACUCAUUAGAUACAGGUUGUCAAAACAUAAACGGUGCCUCUUUCCCAUUGUUGCAAGGCAGACAAUGUGCUACAAGCCCAGUUUUAUCAAAAGUAGCUGUCUUUCAAGCUACAGGAAUAACAUUGGUGUCUAUGGAGUGAACAGGGUCCAUCUGCAAUUUGCAAAACCACUGCAACAGUAAAGAGAGACAAAUAUUCAAUAACUUCACUCUUAUACAUUGUAGUGUCACUAAAAUCACUGCAGCCUUCAACUGGCUCCUGUUGACAGAGUGUUUUAACAGAAAUGUAAAUGCUGUAAUUUGAUUCUUUUAAUGAACCAUGUAACUUGAAUGGAUGUGAUGCUGGUGUGACCACAGUGCACACGUCUGAUGUUGCUCACAGUGGUUCAAGGGACGCUCAGGGAGUUUGUGUGUUUGCUCAGACUCAUGAAAAAUUACAGGGAACAUUGGUCAGAACCCUGGCAAACUUAUUUUCAGCAGUUUUUUUUAGUGGAAGUCACAAAUAAAGGAGCUCUUGGUUUUUCCCAGCGUUACUGAGUCCAAAGCUGCUGUUUCAACACAGACACGUUCACUUACAUCCACAAACCUCUCAGCACUCAAACACCCACAGACAGGAGGCCAGCUGGGCCGAGGCUUGGCGGCGUCCUCAGACCCACGAGUCGGGGAGUCGCUGAACUUGUUGGUCCUGUUUGAAGGCCUCCGUGUGGUCCAGUAGAAGUCCACGUAGUCGGUGUUGGCUUUGAACCGCAGUGACUGGCCGCCAUCAGGUGGACCGGCUCGUCCUCGUAGGGCUCCUCUUGUAGCCUUGAGGGGACCACAGGAACAUUCAGUAGCUGUUGGAGUUCUUCCUGUCAGGCUCGUGGUAGAACGGCUCUGAAGAAUCUUAUACUUGUCUUAUCUGGAACAAUCUAACAGCCUAAACUGUUAACAGCGGUGUAAAGAAGCAAACACACAGGCAUUGAUUAGGACUCAAACUAGAUUUAUUUUAGAAAACAAAUCAACUUAGAGGCAUUUGUUGACACAUGUGGCUGAAUAGGAGGCCGUCCAAUCAGAUUUGAGGUCUUCACUCUGUAGGUUGGUUGUUCGGUGAGACUCUUGGACCUCCAUCAGCUGACGUGGAUGUUUGAUGGUCUUCCUCUCUCGUGCCAGAUGAUUCAUCCAUGAAUUCAGCAGCUACAGACUGAAAUGAAGCUCAUGCUGCCGUUAUUGAAUUCCUGUUCCAGAUCAAAUGUUCAGAGUCCACCUUGAAUGCAGCCGUCUGCUGUCUGAUAGUUUUUCUCAUUGUAGUCUUCAAUAAAGUCUUUUUCCUCAUGUCAGGA